GGCGAUGAAGCAACUGACUGGUUCGGCAUCAGCCGAUUGCAGAGCCAAAUCAUGGGUUGAGCGAAAACCACAAGCCGAAUAGAUUCCUGGAAUCGAACAAAAACGCUAU
rnacentral:sRNA from 1 species